GACAGAGGUGCCGAGCGUUAGGCGGAAUCACUGGGCUUAAAGCGUGUGUAGGCGGACUGAUAAGUACCUUGUGAAAUCCCCCGGCUUAACCGGGGAACUGCUUGGUAUACUGUCGGUCUUGAGCCACCUAGGGGCAGCUGGAACAAACGGUGGAGCGGUGAAAUGCGUAGAUAUCGUUUGGAACGCCAAAGGUGAAAACAGGCUGCUGGGGGUGUGCUGACGCUGAGACACGAAAGCUAGGGGAGCAAACGGG
rnacentral:rRNA from 1 species